GGAUUGGACGGUGCGUGCAUCGCUGACUUGUGGGACUGGAUGGCCCAGUCGUUGUUGUGCUAUUCAUUUCUGUCUAUGUGCUUUCUCUCUCGUGCGGCUCCUCUCCAUCCCCACGCUUCCGCCUCCUCUUCCUGGCCGCCCGCCAUAGCAACUGCGCCACCACUCCCCACCAACUCCACCGUCGCUCGCCAUCGUCUACACCAGUGUCGAGGACCUACGCCGGUGUUCGAAAAUCGAAUCCAGAUGACCUUCUCCUAAGAGCACAUGCGUGCUAGGGUUUCGAGUCGCCGCCCCGCCCAGCUCCGGUCGAAGUCUUCUCCGAGACAUCUACUCCCCCUGCGCACCUCCUUGCUCCAUGUCCAGAUUCGAGAGCUGCCCUGAGCUUUCGCAUGUCGUCCUAGAUUUGUAUCCUUUCCUUUUUUUACGAUGGUGCGACACAGAUCUGUAUUCUGUACGAGUCACCUCCUCUUGCAGUUAUAACUUCCAUGAUUUUCUGAUGCCAAUGGGAUUUUUUCAACCAGAAAAUACAGGAAUUAGAGCAAUUCGAUUGGUUAGUCUUCUCUGAUCUGGCUGUUUUUUAAGGUUUUCAGUUCCAUUUAAUUUUUUUAAAUUGCCAGUUUUAUGCUCUGAUUAAAAUUUGAGUACACAUAAUAGCUGGAUUUAAAAAAAAAUCUUACAUGCUUUGAUAUCUUUUGAUAUUAUCUAAUAUAUAAUAGGAUACCUUUUUUGUAGUAUCUAGGGAUUCAGCAGGUAUGGUUCCUCAAAAUUGUUUUACCUGAAUUUAGUUCACUGAUUAGGUGAUUAAGACGUACUAAUUGGUUGUGUCAGCUUAAUUAUUUUCUCUACUACUGGAUUGAUAUUCCACCGUGUCCUUCUCAUAGCUAUUAAUUAUGUCUUGGUUCCCCGUAGAAGUUGAUAGAUGAUGCUUUAUUCUUAAGUUUACUAUAUUUUUUUUUCACUAGGCGCUAUAUGAGUUUUCCUUUUUAAACAAAGUUCUGUUCUGUUGUAUUAAACAUGCAUGGUAUAUUUUGAGGAGAGAUUUAUGCGGCAGUAUGUUCAUCAAGUAGCACAAUCUGAUCGUCAAGUGUGAGAGAUGGCAAGAGUAAUAAAAUGCAUUGACUCUUCAUGCUGCAACAGCAGGUUAGUUAUUUGUUAAGAAAACUCCGGAGAAGAUUUAUAUUUUUAUACACUCGGUGAUAUCAAAGGCAUUAAUUUUAUUUCACCUAUCGGCAUUAAUUUUUCCUUUUCUUCUCAUGAUCCAAAUGAAUAUUUUAUGCUGCAUGUAGGUUAGGAAGUGACAGUUCUACACGAAAUAAAGUUUCACCGAUUACACGUAGCAGUUUCUGAUCAAUUAUUUUGUCGCCUUAACCAGUUUGCCGAAACAUAAAGGUACAACUCUGAAUUUUUUUCCUCACAUCAAAGUUCUUAAGUUAUAAAUAGUUUACUACUUUUUCUUCUGCUUGAAGGUUCUUUGGUAAUCAAAAGCACAAACCGAGUUUGAUUCAUUGAUGGACAUUAAAGGAAACUGAGACUAGAUAUAUUUUCUCUAUGUUACUCUUAAAGGGCAUGUUAAAUGUUGCUUAAAUAUUUCUCUCUCUGAAAGUAGAACAUAUAAUGCUUUAUUUCCAGGAUUUAGAUUUAACAACUUGCAAGCAUCUUCUCUUAGAGAGCGGUUAUCAAUAGAGCUCACAUCAAUAUGCAUUUCUCAAAAAGCAAAAAUUACCAAGUUAGUUUAUGAAUAAAAGUUGGAUUGCCAGCCUUUGUAGUGCCCAAACUCGGAAAACGGUCUCCACACAAUAAUAAAUUAUCAAUCCUAUUUAUAUAAGAAGCUACUCAGACAUAGUUUGCAUCUCGCGGUGGAUGAUAAUCUAGCUUAAACAGACAUACACUUUCUUUUUUUGUAGUUUUCUUCAAUUGUUUUCCCACGCAAAAAGCUCAGAAGUGAGGGUAUUAUGUUCUUGUAUCCUUGUUGUUCCGGAAAGUUCAUCUGGACACACUGAUUCAAAUUGGGCGUUUGUUACUCGACGUCUGGACGUGUUUACUCGGGCAAGUGAGCGUUUUAUCUUACCCUGCGCACUUUGUUCCUGAAUUUUUGUACAUAAGUGAAGGUUUGAUCUUGUCCUUAAGACCAAUCCAAAGGACCAUUUAAUGUAAAUAUUGAUCAAGCAAGUAACCUAAAAUAGUGAUAGUGGAAACUAUAUUUUCCCUUUCUGUAGCAUGUGAUACUGGUUUGUAUAUCUCAGGAACUAUUAGAAACUCACUCUUUCAAAAAGCUCAGGAUAAACAAGCAAUAUUUUUUGUGGAGUACUCAGUUAGCUGUUAUGUUGACUGUUGAGAAAACAUGCCACCUAGCCCUUAAGUGGAAAAUGAGCCUUGGCUAUUGGGCUCACUGUAGCAGUUCACAAGUAUCCAUUACUAAGAGAAUGGAUAGUUGAGGGAGGUGCACUGGUUCUUGCUAAUAUCGACACAUGCCAUAUUGAUGAAUUUGGUAAGAUGAACAAUGAAUAUAGGUAGAAAAUAGGCUUUGACGGUGUUAUAGGUAUUUAAUUUACACAUUAUUUACUAUUAAUUUCUUCUCCUUGUACUCAUGAAUGAAUGGAGAAAAAAAGCAUCAGCCUGUGACGACAGUGCUGCCUUGGAUUCCUGUUCGCCGCCCGUCAGGUUGUGGAAGUCUUCUCCCAGGCAUCCACUCCCCCUUCGUACCUCCUUGCUCCCUGUCUAGAUCAGAUUGCCACCCAUUGAUCUUGCUCGCGACCCGUUACCGACUCUGCUGCUCCAUCUUAAAGAUCUAUGUUGUGCAAGUCUCAGCGUGCCUCCCGACUACCCUCCGUGGCCUAGGUCCAUCACCCCCACCUCCAGGAGCACAACUUGUAGCUCUAAGUUUCCAUUCCCCGAACGGAGGGUCUCGCGUUUCUGUGAUGCAGUUUUGGGUUGCCCAACUAGCCACACCUCUGCUGCUACUGUUGGCCCCUCAGCGUCUUAUCUCCCAGUCAUGAGAAGUGGGCAUCGAAGGUGAUGGCGUGAUGGUCCUGUUUGCAAAGCGUAUGUGUUUGUGUGUGUCGAACAACAUUGGUCCUCCAAGCUUUUGUCACCUACUCAAGUUCAGUCCCAGAUAAACUUCUGUUGGAGGUAAAAUCUAGCUUUCUAUCAUGUUUUAUAUGGAGAAAAUGAAGAAAGGUUACAUGUCAAAGCUUCACAUCCAAUGUUUUGGUUUGUAUUGCUAAAAGCUACUGAACUGUUGCAAUAUGCAUAGGAGACAAAGUUAUGGAUGAUAUUGCUGCUGAUC